rnacentral:lncRNA from 1 species
AGAGGGGCCAGAAGAAGUUCCUUUGCAGAUCUCCUGAAAGACACAGGAGCUGGAGACACCAGGGAGCUCUUCAGGCAAAGGCAGAUGGGGGAAGAAGAUCAGGAAGAAGACUGGAAGUCCAAAUGAAGAGCCAGCACCCCAGCCAAAGAUUAGAGACAGAAAAGCCCAGUUAAAGUCUUGGUUCCUGGAUGCCUCUGAAGUUACAGAAACACAGAAGGAGGCUAGAAACAAUGGCUGCCAACGCUGAAGGAGCAGUGGCUCCCAUCCAGUCUGGGCCGGGAGAGAAGGGUGAGCAGCGGGCUUUCAAACAAACAACCCCCCCCAAACAAAAAGAAAACCAAAAGCAAAAAACUCAAGUCUUUCAUCAGCUCCACCACUGUAACUCCAUGACAUCUCUUCUUUCUCCUCUGAGCCCAUUAAACUGUACUUCCCGCUUGGACCGAUAUAAUCUAUUCAAAGACGUUUCUUCCUUUAAGCUGUUUAUCUCAGGUAUUUUGUCGCAGCAGUGCAAAACUUAUUACACAAUAAUAGAUACUGAAUUUAUGAUAUUGAUUACUUCUGAUAAGGGUGAUAGGAUUGAAAAUUGAUAAAGAGAGGAUCACAACUAUAUCUCCAUUUUUAUCUCUAUCUAUCUAUGUAUGUAUGUAUGUGUCAGUCAUCUCCUAUUAUAUUGAUAUAGGGGGAAUAAGUGUAACUCCUAACCUGCUGAAUGUCAGAUAUGCCAAGUUUGUGCUCCCCAAAAUUGAAGAAUGAAUUCUAAGGAAUAUCAGAGGUUAAGAGUAGGAAAAAUUUAUUGAGGGAAAGAGAGAGAGAGAGAGAGAGAGAAGGGGACCCAGAAGUGGGUUGCCAAUGAGCCCACUUCUCAAAGGAAGUUUGACAGAGCAAAAUCACAAGGUGGGUACAAUGUGGGUCAAAACUACAAUCAACCAAUGAGAUUAGAAGCACAGCUGCUUAGGCAAUGUUGAUCCAGUGGGGAAGCAGGUCACUUAGCAAGUGUGCAUGGAAAGAACAAAGACCUGUUAAGGGUCCGGGAUACCCACUGCGGCUACUGAUGUCCAUCUACGUGAGCAGGAUCCCACAUCCGUUGCUCAUCCUGGGGGAGGCAUGCAGGCCUGGUCACACGGUCCCCAUCCUGAGGCCUGGCCCUCGACCGAUGCACCUCCAGCCACAGCUGUGAUGUGUUCUCAUCCUCAGCCUGACUCCUGGAGGGCCCAGCCCUGUCUGCUUGCCCUAUUUCUACCCAACUUAGCUGUCCAUAAUAAUAUUUUUACAAAAAGGAUAUUAAAUAUUGCCAAAGGUUAAGAAUCAGUGAAGCUGGGUAAUUGGGUAUAAAGUUUUUUAUUAUAUUUCUUCUUGAGUAUAAAUUUGAAUUAUUGCACAAUAAAAAUGCAACAAAAAAGAAUACCUACAGAAAUACUGCAUUGGACUUGGGAUACGGACACUGUUAAGGCUGAAAAACAUCACGGUGAGAAGACAGAGCCUCCUGCUAGGAGAACGAACGAUGUGGGGUUUCGUACACUUCAUCAUCAUACUGUAUGAAAAUGAUACCUGCAAGUGGUGAUUUCAGUCCCUCCUGGGAGGAGCAGCGCAGGGCCUCGGUGUUUUGCUUUUUAGUUCCCGAUAUUCCUCCGUGAAGGCUGAUUCUGCUGUCCCUCCCUGGUGUCCUGCAUUUUGGCCUAGAAUAUGUGAUUUUUCAGGCAAGAGAAAAACAAUGAGAAUGUGAUCCUUCGGAGCCUCUGACAUCACCUGCACUCAGAAAAUCCUGCCUUUAAUUGCUCAGUGCCUGGAUUAUUGUGGGGUAAAACUGGGACCUCAGGUAGGGAGGCAAAACCCAAGAAGCCCCCGAGGUGCGCUGGUUUACUUGACAAAGGCAGAGUUCACAUCAUAAAGGCAGAAGGGAGAGGAAGAGUCCCAGCUGGGUCUUGGCUCAGUGCAGAAGCCCCCGACUCCAGCAGGAACCCCGGUCAGACUGAGUCACAGCUGAGAACCUGAGGUCCACUGAGUAGACACUGGGAAGCUGGGUGCCUCACUCCCUUGCUCCUGGGCUCUUGGUGCUGCUGAUGGAAGAAUCCAGUCAAGGCUCACAGGGAGUACAGACGUCUAAGUAGAGUCUACAUUAAGUAGGUACUGAGAGCCUUACGCCUUCGUUGGAGAGAAGGAAGACAGUGCCACGGAGGCAUCUGCCCUGAGCAUGAGUUUGGAUUCCUUUUUAUGUCCACAGAACCUACUCCUGGGGUUAAGGGAACUAGGGUGACAUUUCUCUUAGGGAUGACUUUGGGAUGUCAAUAUCUAAAAAAUCUCAGUGUUCCUGCAGGGGCCUAACUCCUGUGAGAAUCUAAAGUAGGUCUCAGCCCCAGGAGGAAGGUCUUCAAAGAAUGCAACUCUUCCUGAUACCGUUGGGCACAGACCAUGGCACCCAGGAAUGCUGUGUGUCUUGUUUUGGAAGUAGCCAGGUGGCCAGCAGCAGAAGGAAUGUGCACACGUGUAACCUUAAAAUGGUACUGUGCUCGGUGGGACCAACGCAGGUCAAAGACCUUGCCAACAAAUCAUUAUAAAUGUGUUAUACAAUGAGGUCUUUAUUUCUGUACCUAACUACAACUGGAAAAGCAUGCUAUUUAGCAGGCCCCAGACCCACUAAUGUCUAAUUAUUUGCCUGACAGAUAUAACAUUGUUCAACAUUCUUCCUCCCUUGAGCAGUCUGAAGUUUCACAGGAGAACAUCAUGAAUCUGCUUCAGGCAGGUGCAUCCUUCUACUUUGUUACCUGGUUUAUCUCCAACCACAUCUGUGUCAGGCAGAAUUAUUUUCCUAAGAGUAGAGAUGAGAAAACUAGCUCAGAGGGGUUGACUUGCUCAAGGUUGUAUGUCCAUGAAGAGGGUUUGGAGGGGCUCAAAUCCAAGUCUACACUGAGCCAGGCUGGAGUAGGCUUUGGGAAUGUAGCACACAGGACACGUGGGAAGAACUUUACCAUUUGGUGGUAGACAAGAUAUCUGUACUGGAGCCAUUGAGGUUGUUCUCAAGGCAUCCGCCCUCGUGGAAACAAUGCUGUGUGCAUAGGGUGCGUACAGGGCCGGCCAGCAAUGGCGCCUUUGGGCUUUGCUAGCGCUGGCUCAGCUGCUUCCUCUGAACAGAUGCAGAGAUCCCUUGAUGUCUCUUUUGCUUUACAGUGAAAUGAUACCAUAUCUCCUUUGGGGGAGAAAGACGGAAGCUUUCUUUCAGUCAAGUGCUCUGGAGAAUGCUCUUUGGAAGAAAGGUGCUUUGGCCUGGUUCCCUCAGGCUUCCUGGCAACCAAGAAAAUCUAAAGCCUGGGUGGACCAGAGUUUAAAAACAGCUUUCCAGGAGAUUUGAAAUUAAAUUUAGAAGAAAAGGAAAUUAUAUAUGAAAAUCAAUUCCAUUUGCCUCCUGCACAAGGCCAGCGACCGAGGCGCCGUCGUUGCCCAGCAGAGAGGAGGUGGCUAUAGCACUGGCCCCAGAUCGGGUGGCUCUUCUGUAAGUACUGGUAGGCAGGUGCGAUUUCCCUCCUGCUUCCUGGAACACAGGGAGCUGGAGGGGAAAGGAAGCGGAGGACUCUGGGUAAGCAUGUGGGUAGGGGUGUGCAUCCAUUUUUAAAUUCAUCAACAUAUUUAUUGCUGCAUGCCAGGGACUCUUUCUGGCAUUGGCAACAUAGGGAUGAGUGAAAAGACAGAGGUACAAUUUCCAAGGAACUCCCUUCCUUCUGUGUGCACGUGUGUGUGUGUGUGUGUGUCUGUGUGUGUGAUUACAAAUAAAUAUCUGACAUAAAAAUGAGGCUGUGGCCAAAACUCAUGUCGAGAAGGGGCUCAGAGAGUUAUGGAAAUUGCAUUUUUAUUUUUUACAAAAAUUAUAUUUGUUCACGCUCCCAGUGUGUAAUGAUCACGUUCAUCCUGGGGUGUUGGCAUAGUGGGGCGGGAGGAGACAGGAAGCUACAUAAACAGAAUGGGACUGUGCUCUGUACAAGGAAGUCACGCACUCAGGUACUGAGCAGACCCGGCCUCUCCGAGUGUGGCCUUGUGUGGAGAAUUGAAGGAAGCGGGAGAGGAAGCCACAGAAAGAGAAAAGGAAACAGCACCAAUGCAGGAGUGAAAUUCUGCGGAAUGCUGUUCCUUCUGUCUUUAGGCCAGGGCUGCAGAGGACAGAGCCCUCUCCUGACCGCAGCGGAGACACUGUGGCUCUGCACGGUCAGGUAGCUCGUAUCUGGGGGGAGCCAGGGCCGGGUGCCGCUGCCGGGUUCCGAGGCAGUGCUGCUAACUGGGCCGUCUGUGUGCCACAGCCAGGCGGCUGUCAGAUCUCUGCAGGGGAUCGGGGAAUGGGCAUGCAGUGAGCGAGGGCAGCCAGGAGAGGGCUCCGCCCGCCGGUGCUGGCACCAUCAGCCCCUUCCUGCUGCCCCCAGACUCUGCCUGCCCACCGCUGCCUGGUACCGGGACAGGUGGGGAUGUUCUGAAACUGCUGCCUGGAUCUCUCAGCUCCUUUCACCUUGGGGCCAGGUGGAGAGAACUGAAGCAGGGAGAUGUCCACCUCCCUCCCCAAGCUGUCAUGCAGCCACACAAGCAAAUAGCUGCAGAGGCCCAGCCUUCAUUGCCCUGCCCGAGCCCAAGAUCCUUUGUUAGGGAGGCCUUAGGUGAGGGAGCCCCAUCUUUUGAGGACACCAUCUUGGGCCAAGUCCCCAGGCAGCCUUUCCUCUAUUUAGUGGCUAUCCUGCAGACCCUCUUCUCUCCCCUCUGUCACCUGUGCCCUGGAUGGCGGUGCUUGAUGAGGCAGUUCUCUGAUGCUGCUAGUAGGCAUGGAGGUGUGCAGGGGAUGAUUCCUGAGCAGCAGAGAAAUGAACCCCACAGCCAGAACCCGGAGCCAGGGUUUCGAGGCAUCAUCUAGUAGAGUGGAACAGAGAGACGGGGUGUGGUGUGAGGGGACAGCUCAGCUUUAGCGUCACAUACCUCGGGGUUUGAACUCCACCUGCUGCAUACAAGUUCUAUUUUGUGCAAGUUACUUGCUGUCUCUGAGCCUCGGUUUUCCCAGUUGCAUGAAAACCAGGACAGGCAACGCCUCUAUCAAGGAUGGGCCACCGGAUCACAGUGCUGUGGAGCCGCUAUCUGCUGGGCUUUCCUGGGCUGGAGACAGACUCAUUCUCCCUCACACAUGGCCUGGGAGGUGGGAGUAGGUGAAGAGUAGGAUGGGAAGCUGGGCGUGGUGGCACACACCCAUCUUCCCAACACUGGGAGCUCAGGAAGGAGGGUCACGAACUUGCGACACCCUGUCCCCAAAUGAAAAAUAAAAAAGGACCGGGAAUGUAGGUCAGUGUAAAGACUCUGAGUGUCGUGUCCUGUAUUGCAACAAGCAAAACCAACCAAAAUCAAAGAAACAAGAGUAGGAUUUGAUCCUCUGAGGAGAGACACAGCGCUUUCUGGAACUCUUGUUCAGAAAAUGUUCCUCAUUAAGUUGUGUCUGGUGAUGUACCUGAUUCCAGCUGAAGUUCACCUUCUUAUGUUAGGGCAGGUUUCUUUCAGUUCACUUCUGUUAGGUGGGGUGCUUGGGGCUUGAAGGCAUCAGGGAGUCUCACCCUGAACGUGGCCAUAACCACCAUGUUGGCCCCGCACCCACUGAUGCUGGGUCUCUGUGGUGAACAUUUGUAUGAGGAUCUGCUGGGCACGAAAGUAAAUUAAUACAUUCAAAUGCUACAGAUCUCAAAAUUUUCCAAGAGUUAGGAAACGGGGUGGUUCUCUUUUUAAUGAAUGAAAGUGAAAUAAUGUACGGUCAUAGGUGGCACGGUUCAUUGUGGGCAUGGUGGGCACAUGUAUGAUGGAAGCUACCCGAGAUUGUAUCAUUUAGUGACAAUAAAGUGCACUCUGAUGUGCAUGGCUGAAUGUUAAUAAAUGAAGUAAUGUGAAAUGCAUUCGGUUAUUUUAUUCCCUUGAACUUUUUGAGUGGUUUUCUCCAUGUGUCAGUCCAGUCCGUUUGAUGUGGUGCAGAUCUAAAGCGUCGCCGGAUCUCAUGGCGUGAGGGCCACAGGAUCACAGGGGCGCUGUUCUCAUCACUGGAUUCAUCCAUCCGUGAGUUCACAGCGGACGCGCCCUCGGGAGGUGGGGCCUGGCUGGAAAUGGCAGCCGGUGAGCUGGAAGGGCGCGUUCUUGUCCCUGCUCCUCCUUCUCCCUCUGCUUCCUGGCCGCCAUGAGGUGAUCAGCUUUUCUCCGCCCUGCACUUCCACUGUGCCGUUCCUGCCUUGGAGCUGCCAACCAUGGAUUGAAACCGGGAGGCAAAAUAAACCUCUCCUCAUUGACGUUGUGGGUGUUGGGUAUUUGCCCCAGCCAGCAACAGGAAAUGUUUCAAUCCAAUCCGUUCGACAGCUUGAGUUUAUCCCUGGAGUCUUAAAGGACACAGUUGAGGGGCAGACAGUGGAGGAGAGGCUGGUGGAGACUCAAGCUCUUUCUUAGAAUCAUUUAGUUUAAUUUUAGGUUCUCAGUAUGGACUUUAAGGCAGGGUCUCUUUGGCCUUUGUUAAUUAGACGCCAGGGUUGGGGAAACAAUAAUGACACAUGCCCACUGCGUCCAACCUUCACCCUCCCUGGGUGUCACUCAGCCCCCAGGCCCCACCUCGCUGUGGAGAAGAGGCAACAGAUGACUUGGGGACAGCUGAGCUGCUGGGUGGUGGCAGAAGCACGGUAUGGAUCCAUCAAACAGGGGCCUCCAGUUUAACACAAGACAAUCACGUCUGUUUUCCCCACAGUCCAGAGUGGGGCAGGGUUCAGCAACUCUCAGCCCAGGCUCCAAAUCCAGCUUGCAAAGCUCAUGAAUUAGAAAUGUUUUGUUUUUUGUUUUUUUACAUUUUUAAAGCAUUACACACACACACACACACACACACACACACAGACACACACACACACGAAAUCCCAUGAAGAAGAAAAUGUGGCAGAAACUGUGUUUCAGAGUUCACACUAUCUGCAGCCUGGCUGUCUGCAGAAACAGUCUGCUCCAGGAAGACAUUAGCUGUCCCCCUCAGGGAGUCCAGGCUCUUCCCAUCUUUUGGCUCUAGGAUAGGGGAAGAGACAGUGGGGAGGGACACUGCUCUGAGACACAUCACCGGUGGGUGCCGGCAGGUGAGGAUGUGGUCCCCGGCCCGGAGGCUGCUCCUGGCAAUGACUGUGUGGAGGAAGCCACGCAUGCAUCUUUGCUUUUCUCUCUGCCUGAAAUACCCCACUUCUUUACUCUUUCUCAUAUUCUGAGUAACGAAGCAGAUUCUUUCUGUGUAGCUAAUCUGCCCAAUACCAACCCCACAGUCUCUGGCAUCCUCUCUUCAGGCCUGAGUGUCUUCAGCAAUCCUGCACUGCACAGACCUUGCGUUGGGUGCCCAGGGCACCUGCUCUGCCUGGAUGCUCCCCCCCCCCCGCCCCCGUGCUUCCUGGUGCAGAGCAGGCAUUCUGUGCAUGUUUUGGCCUGAUUUGCAUACAGAUUUAUAGGAACAAGGGAAGGAGGAGAAGGCUUCUGAAUGAAGACAGGACUAGCAAACUUGAGCCACAGCUGGAAGGACAGGGAAGACUGAGAAAGAACACUAGCAGUUCAUCUCUAAGACGGCCAAGUGAGUAUCCUGCAGAUCUGGGGCAUGACAUCAGAUCCGUGUGAGUCUGAAUCGCAUGCUCUUCAUGACCAUGAGAAACAAUGAACACCGCAGAGAACUUCACUGUGAAACCCAUCUCCAACAGAGAGAGUUAAGGCAGAUUUCCACAGCACCUGUGUGCCCGGGCAUCUCCACCAGGAAGGGGAUCUGGGGCUGGGAAGUGCCAUUCUGAGAUGGCCACAUUGGAAGCCAGAUUGCAAAGGGGGAUGCUUGGGAAUUGUAUUCUGAGGUCUCACGGGGCCAACACAAGGAUGAAGCAUGUGGGGCUGUGGUGAAGUAGGCAGCCAGGAAGCUGGUAUCAAGAGACUGCCACUGGCAAGGCUGCUGCGGCAUGGACUUGGCUGGUGAAGAUGCACACAGGAAUCUGAAGACCUUGACCUCGCUUUGUUUCCGCUUUUGUAUCUCCACGCUUCCAUUGCCAGGAAACCACGGAAUGGUGAAGCCAGAGGAGCUUGCCUCAUGAUUUGUAUUGGAAAGGGCAAGGGCUUUAGACCCUGGUGAACCUGGAUGCAGAUUCUGGCUCAGGAAUUUGUGACUGCAGGCAAA